AAAGGAAAGUGUUGGAAGGAUCAUUAGUUUUUCUCUUCUGAACUGAUUAUUGGCUGUGUCUUUUCUAGCCAAAUGACUAAAUUGUCACUGAUUUUGCACUAACUUGUCGGAUUGAAAGCAAUUUCUGACCCUCACUCACCCCUCUUAAUUUAACUUUUCAAAAAAAAAAAAAAAAAAAGAAAACAAGUUUGAACUAUAAUAAAAAGGAUGGGCUCUUCCUGUGAUGGACUGAUAACAUCACGUUGGCUUGGGAUUUUGAAAUGAGCCGUGCAACACUUAGUUAGUGCUUUAUGUUUGUGACUGCAAAUUGAUCAAACUUUUUAUUUCCACACCUUAACCUGAAAAUGGGAUGCUUUGUCAGUGGGUACAGCAAUAGCCAAUUCCGGAAGCGGAAUCGGACGUGUUUUCGCCAUUGACUGGGCACCUGCCGAUUUUUGGCCGCACUGGCUGCAACUGCUAGUCGGGCUUUGGCAAGUGGAUUCGCUCGUCGGCUGCUGUGCUACCAGCGUUUCUAACCCGUGACAGCAUGACCUCAGCCCAAGAGGAGAGGGUCCACAGCCAGCAGGCCGGCCUGGAAAUGUCUUGUCUUUGAGUGCCUCUUGAAAAAACGUAUCUGGUCCAUAAUGGAGGCUGUGCAGGUCUGCAAGCACAGAGUGGACAUGCCCCCACAUAAUGGAGCCACUUUAAAGUGCAGCGACAUCCUGCCAGCACACUGCACUUCCAGCCGUUCUUUAUUCCUCCUGGGCUAUAGGAGGCAGUUGUUCAGUGGGCGUGAAAAGAGGCAGUGGCAGUUGGGUUUUCUUUUUUUAAAAUCUGAGAAAGAAAAAAUGUUGCGCUCUGCAGGGUUUUAACAAUGGCUAUAAAGUGCGGUACAUUGGAUUGCUCAGAAAGCCAAUAUAUACUGUAAAUUUAAAUCUCUUCCCCGGUUGGAAAUUGCUCCUAAAGUAAAGAUUAGAUUCAUACCGACUUGCGUUCAUUCACACAAUACAGCAAGAUAUCUCAACUGUGCUGUGAAGAAAAAAACAAUUGAACAAGCAUUAUAUAAAGCAUGGUUUCCCUCUUUUUUGUGGAAUAUCUGAAAUAUCCUAUGUCAAUCAGUUAACUUAAGAAAAGAGACAAGGAUGGGCAUGUAACCAUUCUUGAUGAAGUGUAGCCCUGGCUGAUAUUAUGUCAAGUCAAUUAAAAUCACUGUAAAUAGUUAAAAUAAUGUCCGUCACACUCGCUCAUGGACAGCAAUAUCUAGCUUGUUGACGGACAGAUUGCACUUGAUUGGUAAAGUUAAGUAACUCUACCUAUGAGAUCAUUUAUUUCUGGCUUAUGGGGAGGUACUAAGGGUAAAGCUCUGGCGGUUUUCGGUAGAAAUCAUUAUUAAGUGCUGGACACCGACGGGAGAAAGGUAGCCUAUGCAUGCUGUUUAAUUAACAUCUUUAUAGGUCUAUGAUAAGUUUGACCAAUGCAAGACUAAGUUAACAAACUAUAUCAAAGUAUAAUGAUGCAUUUUCCUUAAAGUUGUGUUUAACAGAACUGCAUGAACUUAGCUAAACCUUGGCUAACAGUAGAGUACCACAGAUGGUAGUUGGCAGCAUUGCUACAGCCACAUACAGACGGGCGAAUUUAAGGAAAAACCAAAAUAAAGUGUCUUAGGGAGCUGCCAGAACAGAUUUUUUUUUUUUUGCUUUUUGGGUUAGAGGGUUUCUUGGUGUCUAAAUGUUUUGCCACAACUAGGAACUACUUGGGCCUAUUUUGGAUGUCAGUGCCAUAGUAAUGGCAAAUGAGUGAACCUUAUAGCUAAUGGCACCAAUCUGUAUUAUGCAAUGUUGUCACAAGUAACUAACAUCUAUUUCUGUUGUUAACCAAAAAGCUCCUUAUCACUA